rnacentral:rRNA from 1 species
UACGUAGGUGGCAAGCGUUGUCCGGAAUCACUGGGCGUAAAGCGCACGUAGGCGGAUUGCUAAGUCAGGGGUGAAAUCCUGGAGCUCAACUCCAGAACUGCCCUUGAUACUGGCGGUCUCGAGUCCGGGAGAGGUGAGUGGAACUGCGAGUGUAGAGGUGAAAUUCGUAGAUAUUCGCAAGAACACCAGUGGCGAAGGCGGCUCACUGGCCCGGUACUGACGCUGAGGUGCGAAAGCGUGGGGAGCAAACAGG